rnacentral:rRNA from 1 species
UUAAAUUGAAGAGUUUGAUCAUGGCUCAGAUUGAACGCUGGCGGCAGGCCUAACACAUGCAAGUCGAACGGUAACUGC